CGGAAGAUUAAUACCACAAAUACAGGGCUACAGCAGCACUCCUGUCGAAUCUCGCUGAUGGAACUCCAAACUCGCCUACCAAAUCAGCAGCUCCCCCAAAAAUUACAGAAUUGCCGUUGGGAACUCUCCGAUACGAAACAACGUAGCUUUCAAGGGUGUUUGGUCAAGUGCACACGAAUUAAACACACCCCCUGUGUUGUGUUGUCAGCUUAUUUCGACGAAUCACUGGGACGUAUUAAAGACGCAUACUUCCCUUCUACAAUCGCCCUCGUCGAGGUGUUGGGUGAUCUACCAGACCGGAAUCAAUCGUGCGCAGAUUCAAUAAGUUACUGACCGGAACGAAACCAGCCUCUGCGGCUUUGUCUAUGAGGCACCCAGCUCGGCGUGACUUUUCGAAAGUAUUUAUCGUUACCGGAGGGGUAUAUUGUAGCGUUUCUUGUUAAAAAAUAACAUCGACAUGAUGACAUAGGAUGACUCGAUUUGAACUUCUGGAUAGAUGUAAUCUGCGGGCAGAGAAACGGCGUUAUUCCCACACUGACGGUCAGCAGGAGACAGCAAGGAUUGGGUCGUAUUUCGAGCAUAAAUGCCAACUGCAACAUGGUGUUGAAGCGAUGUGCCGAAAAAAAUCACCAUUAUCAUUAUGUGCAAAAAAAUGUCAACAACAGUGGUUGCCCCAAGCUGACCCAAGCUGUAAAUCUGACUUGAUUCCAAUGGACCUGUUACAGGUCACCUGUAUGUCAGUCUUCCGAAAUGCCUAUGCAACACGGAAUGAUGGAUCCUCGUACCUGUUCCUCCCACUGCAUACCUAUGCGGUUUAGCUACUUUUACCCUUGCUCUUCCUAUGGUCACGGUUGUUAUCCCCGAGAGCGAGAACGCAUUUCUAAAGAUAGCCAAAAUGCAGUGGUCCGGAUUGAAAUAUGAUUCAGCUGUAAAACCGCCAAGGUUUGUGGUAAAACUGUGUUAGUCUACACAUCCGUUAUGUUAUUAUCGAUUAUCGUCCGGUAUCGUCAUAUGCAGAUACACUAGCAGCAGAGAACACGAACUUCCUCGAGAAUCGCAGUAUAGAACUACUUCCUGAACCUGCCGGAAGCAGCAAUAUUAUAGAAUGUCAUAAAUAUGA